GCCGGAGUGGCGGAAUCGGAAGACGCGCGGGACUUAAAAUCCCGUGAGGCGCAGGCCUCGUGUGGGUUCGAUCCCCACCUCCGGCACCG
rnacentral:tRNA from 1 species